AUGCAGCCCCGAGUGGCGUUUCAUGGCAACACCGAGCGCGACGUCUCCGGCGAAGCUUCAUUGCAGCUCCGGCGAAAGCUUCAUUGCAGCUCUGGUGAAGCUUCAUUGCAGCCCCGGCGGAGUCCGUUCCGACCCUAUCGCUGCUCCAAUGACCGGGCGGAGCUCCCAUGCAGCCCCGAGUGGCGCUUUAUGGCAACACCGAGCGCGACUUCUCCGGCGAAGCUUCAUUGCAACUCCGGCGAAAGCUUCAUUGCAGCCUCGGCGGAGUCUGUUCCAACCCCAUCGCAGCUCCAACGACCGGGCGGCGCUCCAUGGCAGCCACGGGUGGCGCUCCAAUGCAACCUCAACGGCGUGAAAAUAAGCUCCAACACAGCACCUCCUUCGUGCGGCGUUGCAGCACCGGCGCCGAGCAGCGCCCGCCUCCGAUCUUCCUGCUUCGAUGCAACAGCGGCAACGGCGCUAUGGCCCGUGCGCCCAUGGCGAGCAGCAAACUGCUGCUUCCAGCUCGCAGCAAUGGUGGUGCGCCCCCAUGGCGAGGAGCACACAGCUAGUGGUCGCGUUUACCCCUCGCUUGUAGCAACAACUUCGGGCGGGGUGCAGCUGCUGGUGGUGGUGGUCGUCCAUCCCGGUUGGUGGUUGGCGUCGUCAUGGGCAUCUCUCCCUCUCAGAUGCAACGGAAGAGGCGGGGAGAGGAAAGAAGAUAGGGGGAAAACGUGUGGAGGAGCAGCCGUGUGA
rnacentral:rRNA from 1 species